ACAGAUGUGCACUCCCUCCCAGCUCUGUAAAAGGGAUUUCAACUCCUCUGUUAGUUUUAAGGGGAAAACUUCUGUAGCAGACUCACAGAUGAUUCAUUAAAUACCCUGAGUACCAAAGCGUAUCACAUUUUUUUUCUUCGAUAGCUAUUUUAAUUUUUUCCUUAGGGACUAAUUAUAAUUUAAAUCUCCUUACUUUUAUAUCUCCUACUUAAGCUCACAAAAGGGAUUUAAUAACAGAGAACAGUCUAUGAAGUCACAAAAUUUGGUAUUUUAUGGUAACUGAAUUGUUACUACAUUUUUACAAUUAGGAAAGAAAACCACCUUCACUGAUAAAGUCAGUGACAGAGAUGUUUAAAACUUAUUUCUUCCCCUCACAUAAAUUCUAAACAUUUUUAACAUCAGGUGAUUCAAUCUAAAUGAAGCUUCAGUCAUACAAUUUUUUUCUACAUAACUGACAAAAAAAGAAAGCAACAUUCCUAAAAGACAGUUCACAAGUCCCUAAGAAGUUUACAGCUGGGUGACAUUUCCUACCCCCAGUUUCUCACAGAUGAAAAAGUAUAUUCGUAGGCCAAUUUAUUAUUUUUUUUGGAGACAAGGUCUUAUUUUGUAGCCCUUGAUGACCUAGAACUUGUUAUGCAGCUCAGGCUGGGUUCAAACUCAGAGGAAUCCUCCUGCCUUUGCCUUCUGGGUGCUGGGAUUAAAGGUGUGCACUACUAUGCCAGGCUUUACCCACCUCAUUUUAACACCCCUCACCCCAGUUACAGGAAAGGAUUGAUUACAGCUUGAAAUAUUGAUAUUUUGGGCAGAAAGGCAUCAGGAUUAUUUGUUUAUUUCUUUUUUUCUUUCUGUGUACAGCACAAAGAA